rnacentral:rRNA from 1 species
UACGGGGGGAGCAAGCGUUGUUCGGAUUUACUGGGCGUAAAGGGCGCGUAGGCGGCCACCGCAAGUCGACUGUGAAAUCUCCGGGCUUAACCCGGAAAGGUCAGCCGAUACUGCGGGGCUAGAGUGCAGAAGGGGCAACUGGAAUUCUUGGUGUAGCGGUGAAAUGCGUAGAUAUCAAGAGGAACACCUGAGGCGAAGGCGGGUUGCUAGGCUGACACUGACGCUGAGACGCGAAAGCGUGGGGAGCGAACAGG